rnacentral:lncRNA from 1 species
GCCAUGUCUGCAUCCAGGAUCGGAACUGGCGAACACCGGGCCACUGAGAAGCGGAACGUGCAAACUUCACCGCUGUGCCACCGGGCCGGCCGCAUUUCAAUCUCUUUUAAACUCAUAAUUGACACUUAAAGUGCCUCCAGGAACAUUCUUGGACUGUCUUUGGGAGAGCAGGGGCAAGUCUUUCCCUAGGAUUUUUUGGUGAAGAAGAUUCACCCAGAGCUAACAUCCAUUGCCCAUCUUCCUCUUUUUUUUGCUUGAGGAAAAUUAUUCCUGAGCUAACAUCUGAGCCAGUCAUCCUCUGUUUUGUAUGUGGGUCGCCACCACAGCAUGGCUGACGAGUGGAGUAGGUCUGUGCCGGGGUCUGAAGCCACGAACCUGGGCCACCGAAGCAGAGUGUGACGAACUUUAACCACUUGGCUAUAGG